UUGGAGGGCAAGUCUGGUGCCAGCAGCCGCGGUAAUUCCAGCUCCAAUAGCGUAUAUUAAAGUUGUUGCAGUUAAAAAGCUCGUAGUUGAAUUUCGGGGUUAGUAGGUUGGUCAUGCCUCUGGUAUGUACUGGUCUCACUGAUUCCUCCUUCCUGGUGAACCUUAAUGCCAUUAAUUUGGUGCUUUGGGGAAUUUGGACUGUUACUUUGAAAAAAUUAGAGUGUUUAAAGCAAGCUAACGCUUGAAUACAUUAGCAUGGAAUAAUGAAAUAGGACGUUCGAUCCUAUUUUGUUGGUUUCUAGGAUUGACGUAAUGAUUAAUAGGGAUAGUUGGGGGCAUUAGUAUUCAAUUGUCAGAGGUGAAAUUCUUGGAUUUAUUGAGGACUAACUACUGCGAAAGCAUUUGCCAAGGGUGUUUUCAUUAAUCAAGAACGAAAGUUAGGGGAUCGAAGACGAUCAGAUACCGUCGUAGUCUUAACCAUAAACUAUGCCGACUAGGAAUCGGAUGAUGUUAAUUUUUUAAUGACUCAUUCGGCGCCUUACGGGAAAC
rnacentral:rRNA from 1 species